rnacentral:rRNA from 1 species
UACGUAGGGGGCAAGCGUUGUCCGGAUUUAUUGGGCGUAAAGAGCGUGUAGGCGGCCAUACAGGUCAGCUGUGAAAACUCGAGGCUCAACCUCGAGACGUCGGUUGAAACCGUAUGGCUAGAGUCCGGAAGAGGAAAGCGGAAUUCCACGUGUAGCGGUGAAAUGCGUAGAGAUGUGGAGGAACACCAGUGGCGAAGGCGGCUUUCUGGUCUGUAACUGACGCUGAGGCGCGGAAGCGUGGGGAGCAAACAGG